rnacentral:rRNA from 1 species
AGUGAACGCUGGCGGUAGGCCUAACACAUGCAAGUCGAACGGCAGCACAGUAAGAGCUUGCUCUUACGGGUGGCGAGUGGCGGACGGGUGAGGAAUACAUCGGAAUCUACUUUUUCGUGGGGGAUAACGUAGGGAAACUUACGCUAAUACCGCAUACGACCUACGGGUGAAAGCAGGGGAUCUUCGGACCUUGCGCGAUUGAAUGAGCCGAUGUCGGAUUAGCUAGUUGGCGGGGUAAAGGCCCACCAAGGCGACGAUCCGUAGCUGGUCUGAGAGGAUGAUAAGCCACACUGGAACUGAGACACGGUCCAGACGCCGACGGGAGGCAGCAGUGGGGAAUAUUGGACAAUGGGCGCAAGCAUGAUCCAGCCAUACCGCGUGGGUGAAGAAGGCCUUCGGGUUGUAAAGCCCUUUUGUUGGGAAAGAAAAGCAGCAGGUUAAUACCCCGCUGUUCUGACGGUACCCAAAGAAUAAGCACCGGCUAACUUCGUG